rnacentral:misc_RNA from 1 species
CAUUGCCCUGCUUGAUGAAGCAUGGUAUGAUAAAAUUCCUUUGUCCUUGGGCUGUGAUAUUUAAGGGAUCUGUUUUAGGGAGUUUGAAUUGUCUUUGUCAUUCUCCAGUUAAAAGGUAUUUCCGAGAAGGCUCUGGUGGUUUUUUUGUUUUUUAAUUGACUGGAUGUGGUGAACGUUUCUUGCUUGCAGUAUGUUUCCAAAGUCAACUCAUG